rnacentral:rRNA from 1 species
AUACGUAGGGGACGAGCGUUGUCCGGAAUUACUGGGCGUAAAGGGCGCGCAGGCGGAUAUUUAAGUCAGCUGUAAAAGGCAUGAGCUCAACUCAUGUAUGCGGUUGAAACUGGGUAUCUAGAGUGCUGGAGAGGUAGGCGGAAUUCCCGGUGUAGCGGUGAAAUGCAUAGAUAUCGGGAAGAACACCAGUGGCGCAGGCGGCUUACUGGCCAGCAACUGACGCUGAGGCGCGAAAGCCAGGGGAGCGAACGGGAUUAGAUACCCCGGUAGUCCUGGCCGUAAACGAUGAAUGCUAGGUGUGGGUGUCGAGAGGCAUCCGUGCCGGAGUUAACGCGAUAAGCAUUCCGCCUGGGGAGUACGAUCGCAAGAUUGAAACUCAAAUGAAUUGACGGGG